AAAUGAAUUGACGGGGGCUCACACAAGCGGUGGAGCAUGUGGUUCAAUUCGAAGCAACGCGCAGAACCUUACCUGGGCUUGACAUGCCAGGAUUAUCCCCAUGAAAGUGGGGUACGCCCUUCGGGGUGGAACUGGUACAGGUGCUGCAUGGCUGUCGUCAGCUCGUGUCGUGAGAUGUCGGGUUAAGUCCCUUAACGAGCGAAACCUUUGCCCUUAGUUACCAUCGGGUUAAGCCGGGGACUCUAAGGGGACUGCCGGUGUCAAACCGGAGGAAGGUGGAGAUGACGUCAAGUCCUCAUGGCCUUUAUGCCCAGGGCCACACACGUGCUACAAUGGCGUCCACAGAGCGAACCAAGAGCGCAAGCUGGAGGAAAUCGCACAAAUGACGCCCCAGUUCAGAUCGGAGGCUGCAACUCGCCUCCGUGAAGUUGGAAUCGCUAGUAAUCGCGGAUCAGCUACGCCGCGGUGAAUAUGUUCCUGAGCCUUGUACACACCGCCCGU
rnacentral:rRNA from 1 species